rnacentral:rRNA from 1 species
ACUAAGCGUACACGGUGGAUGCCCUGGCAGUCAGAGGCGAUGAAGGACGUGCUAAUCUGCGAAAAGCGUCGGUAAGGUGAUAUGAACCGUUAUAACCGGCGAUGUCCGAAUGGGGAAACCCAGUGUGUUUCGACACACUAUCAUUAACUGAAUCCAUAGGUUAAUGAGGCGAACCGGGGGAACUGAAACAUCUAAGUACCCCGAGGAAAAGAAAUCAACCGAGAUUCCCCCAGUAGCGGCGAGCGAACGGGGAGGAGCCCAGAGCCUGAAUCAGUGUGUGUGUUAGUGGAAGCGUCUGGAAAGGCGCGCGAUACAGGGUGACAGCCCCGUACACAAAAAUGCACAUGCUGUGAGCUCGAUGAGUAGGGCGGGACACGUGGUAUCCUGUCUGAAUAUGGGGGGACCAUCCUCCAAGGCUAAAUACUCCUGACUGACCGAUAGUGAACCAGUACCGUGAGGGAAAGGCGAAAAGAACCCCGGCGAGGGGAGUGAAAAAGAACCUGAAACCGUGUACGUACAAGCAGUGGGAGCCCUGAUUUAUCAGGGUGACUGCGUACCUUUUGUAUAAUGGGUCAGCGACUUAUAUUCUGUAGCAAGGUUAACCGAAUAGGGGAGCCGGAGGGAAACCGAGUCUUAACUGGGCGUUAAGUUGCAGGGUAUAGACCCGAAACCCGGUGAUCUAGCCAUGGGCAGGUUGAAGGUUGGGUAACACUAACUGGAGGACCGAACCGACUAAUGUUGAAAAAUUAGCGGAUGACUUGUGGCUGGGGGUGAAAGGCCAAUCAAACCGGGAGAUAGCUGGUUCUCCCCGAAAGCUAUUUAGGUAGCGCCUCGUGAAUUCAUCUCCGGGGGUAGAGCACUGUUUCGGCAAGGGGGUCAUCCCGACUUACCAACCCGAUGCAAACUGCGAAUACCGGAGAAUGUUAUCACGGGAGACACACGGCGGGUGCUAACGUCCGUCGUGAAGAGGGAAACAACCCAGACCGCCAGCUAAGGUCCCAAAGUCAUGGUUAAGUGGGAAACGAUGUGGGAAGGCCCAGACAGCCAGGAUGUUGGCUUAGAAGCAGCCAUCAUUUAAAGAAAGCGUAAUAGCUCACUGGUCGAGUCGGCCUGCGCGGAAGAUGUAACGGGGCUAAACCAUGCACCGAAGCUGCGGCAGCGACACUGUGUGUUGUUGGGUAGGGGAGCGUUCUGUAAGCCUGCGAAGGUGUGCUGUGAGGUAUGCUGGAGGUAUCAGAAGUGCGAAUGCUGACAUAAGUAACGAUAAAGCGGGUGAAAAGCCCGCUCGCCGGAAGACCAAGGGUUCCUGUCCAACGUUAAUCGGGGCAGGGUGAGUCGACCCCUAAGGCGAGGCCGAAAGGCGUAGUCGAUGGGAAACAGGUUAAUAUUCCUGUACUUGGUGUUACUGCGAAGGGGGGACGGAGAAGGCUAUGUUGGCCGGGCGACGGUUGUCCCGGUUUAAGCGUGUAGGCUGGUUUUCCAGGCAAAUCCGGAGAAUCAAGGCUGAGGCGUGAUGACGAGGCACUACGGUGCUGAAGCAACAAAUGCCCUGCUUCCAGGAAAAGCCUCUAAGCAUCAGGUAACAUCAAAUCGUACCCCAAACCGACACAGGUGGUCAGGUAGAGAAUACCAAGGCGCUUGAGAGAACUCGGGUGAAGGAACUAGGCAAAAUGGUGCCGUAACUUCGGGAGAAGGCACGCUGAUAUGUAGGUGAAGCGACUUGCUCGUGGAGCUGAAAUCAGUCGAAGAUACCAGCUGGCUGCAACUGUUUAUUAAAAACACAGCACUGUGCAAACACGAAAGUGGACGUAUACGGUGUGACGCCUGCCCGGUGCCGGAAGGUUAAUUGAUGGGGUCAGCGCAAGCGAAGCUCUUGAUCGAAGCCCCGGUAAACGGCGGCCGUAACUAUAACGGUCCUAAGGUAGCGAAAUUCCUUGUCGGGUAAGUUCCGACCUGCACGAAUGGCGUAAUGAUGGCCAGGCUGUCUCCACCCGAGACUCAGUGAAAUUGAACUCGCUGUGAAGAUGCAGUGUACCCGCGGCAAGACGGAAAGACCCCGUGAACCUUUACUAUAGCUUGACACUGAACACUGGUCCUUGAUGUGUAGGAUAGGUGGGAGGCUUUGAAGUGUGGACGCCAGUCUGCAUGGAGCCGUCCUUGAAAUACCACCCUUUAAUGGCUGGUGUUCUAACGUGGGCCCGUAAUCCGGGUUGCGGACAGUGUCUGGUGGGUAGUUUGACUGGGGCGGUCUCCUCCUAAAGAGUAACGGAGGAGCACGAAGGUUGGCUAAUCCUGGUCGGACAUCAGGAGGUUAGUGCAAUGGCAUAAGCCAGCUUGACUGCGAGCGUGACGGCGCGAGCAGGUGCGAAAGCAGGUCAUAGUGAUCCGGUGGUUCUGAAUGGAAGGGCCAUCGCUCAACGGAUAAAAGGUACUCCGGGGAUAACAGGCUGAUACCGCCCAAGAGUUCAUAUCGACGGCGGUGUUUGGCACCUCGAUGUCGGCUCAUCACAUCCUGGGGCUGAAGUAGGUCCCAAGGGUAUGGCUGUUCGCCAUUUAAAGUGGUACGCGAGCUGGGUUUAGAACGUCGUGAGACAGUUCGGUCCCUAUCUGCCGUGGGCGCUGGAGAACUGAGGGGGGCUGCUCCUAGUACGAGAGGACCGGAGUGGACGCAUCACUGGUGUUCGGGUUGUCAUGCCAAUGGCACUGCCCGGUAGCUAAAUGCGGAAGAGAUAAGUGCUGAAAGCAUCUAAGCACGAAACUUGCCCCGAGAUGAGUUCUCCCUGAGACUUAGAGUCUCCUGAAGGAACGUUGAAGACGACGACGUUGAUAGGCCGGGUGUGUAAGCGCAGCGAUGCGUUGAGCUAACCGGUACUAAUGAACCGUGAGGCUUAACC